CCACUUGUUUUUUCCUGGCAGUGUCCAAGGAAGACCGGGCAGCAGAGGAGCAAGGAAGGGUGACGGAGGCCCUCAUCUCCACCUUUCUGCAGGGGACUCAAGCUGAUACUGGGAACUUAGCGGACCUUGCUGGGCAGAGGAAAGGUAAGGUAACACACGUGUGUGUUAUGGGGUGGGGGGCACUACAAGUUGCUUAGGUAGCCCCUCAGAUGCUGUGU
rnacentral:lncRNA from 1 species